rnacentral:rRNA from 1 species
AGCGAACGCUGGCGGCAGGCCUAACACAUGCGAGUCGAACGAACUCUUCGGAGUUAGUGGCGGACGGGUGAGUAACACGUGGGAACGUGCCUUUAGGUUCGGAAUAACUCAGGGAAACUUGUGCUAAUACCGAAUGUGCCCUUCGGGGGAAAGAUUUAUCGCCUUUAGAGCGGCCCGCGUCUGAUUAGCUAGUUGGUGAGGUAAAGGCUCACCAAGGCGACGAUCAGUAGCUGGUCUGAGAGGAUGAUCAGCCACAGUGGGACUGAGACACGGCCCAAACUCCUACGGGAGGCAGCAGUGGGGAAUCUUGCGCAAUGGGCGAAAGCCUGACGCAGCCAUGCCGCGUGAAUGAUGAAGGUCUUAGGAUUGUAAAAUUCUUUCACCGGGGACGAUAAUGACGGUACCCGGAGAAGAAGCCCCGGCUAACUUCGUG